AUCACCACAGAGAAGAAGAAGAAGAAAAUAUACAUAUUUUGAAAGUAAAAGAAAAAUCUAAAAUUUCUAUGAGGAGAUAUAUAAAAAAUAUCAAGAGAUAAUAAUUGUGUCAUUAGUUGUAGAUAUAACAUUCCAUUUCGUACAGAAACUAAUCAUCAAUCCAUGUCUUGUAAGAGUUUGAACUAUUUAUGUAGAAAUUGAUCCAAGUGGAUUCUUUUGUAAGUUUUUUUGAAAAACUAGACCAAAGGAACAUGGCUGAUUUGUUCUAGAUUACAUUAUAUCUGCUAGAUAAUUCGGAAAUUAGAAGGCUUUUAAAGAUUCAGUUGUACACACAUUAAAACUGAACUUCAUAUAUUGAAAUAUAAAUCGAGUCUGCGGAUAGAGACACACAAGAAAUAAAAUCCAUACUUCUCA